GAUGAACGCUGGCGGCGUGCCUAAUACAUGCAAGUCGAGCGAACGGACGAGAAGCUUGCUUUUCUGAUGUUAGCGGCGGACGGGUGAGUAACACGUGGAUAACCUACCUAUAAUACUGGGAUAACUUCGGGAAACCGGAGCUAAUACCGGAUAAUAUUUUGAACCGCAUGGUUCAAAAGUGAAUGACGGUCUUGCUGUCACUUAUAGAUGGAUCCGCGCUGCAUUAGCUAGUUGGUAAGGUAACGGCUUACCAAGGCAACGAUGCAUAGCCGACCUGAGAGGGUGAUCGGCCACACUGGAACUGAGACACGGUCCAGACUCCUACGGGAGGCAGCAGUAGGGAAUCUUCCGCAAUGGGCGAAAGCCUGACGGAGCAACGCCGCGUGAGUGAUGAAGGUCUUCGGAUCGUAAAACUCUGUUAUUAGGGAAGAACAUAUGUGUAAGUAACUGUGCACAUCUUGACGGUACCUAAUCAGAAAGCCACGGCUAACUACGUG
rnacentral:rRNA from 1 species